CAGUCGCCACGGUAAUACAGAGGGUGCGAGCGUUAAUCGGAUUUACUGGGCGUAAAGCGUGCGUAGGCGGCUAAUUGAGUCGGAUGUGAAAUCCCUGAGCUUAACUUAGGAAUUGCAUUCGAUACUGGGAAGCUAGAGUAUGGGAGAGGAUGGUAGAAUUCCAGGUGUAGCGGUGAAAUGCGUAGAGAUCUGGAGGAAUACCGAUGGCGAAGGCAGCCAUCUGGCCUAAUACUGGCGCUGAGGUACGAAAGCAUGGGGAGCAAACAGGAUUAGAUACCCCAGUAGUCCCUGUCUCUUAUAC
rnacentral:rRNA from 1 species